UACAGAGGGGGCAAGCGUUAUUCGGAAUUAUUGGGCGUAAAGGGCUCGUAGGCGGCCAACUAAGUCGGAUGUGAAAUCCCCAGGCUCAACCUGGGAACUGCAUCCGAUACUGGAUGGCUUGAAUCCGGGAGAGGGAUGCAGAAUUCCAGGUGUAGCGGUGAAAUGCGUAGAUAUCUGGAGGAAUACCGGUGGCGAAGGCGGCAUCCUGGACCGAGAUUGACACUGAUGAGCGAAAGCUAGGGGAGCAAACGGG
rnacentral:rRNA from 1 species